UUGGCAUAAAAGAAAGCAUCCCCACCAACUUUCUUCCAGUCAAAGACACCUGAUGCAAUGUUCUCCUUGGUGCUGAGGGAGCAGGGUAACACCACAUCUCUGUCUUGUUCCACUUUAAUCAACGGUGGCCCUGAAAGAUAAAAUCAUGUAUUUUUCAGUAUGUUUACGUGCAGAGUAAUUAAGUUAGUUUUCAAUCGCUUUGGCACAAUCGUCGAAUAACUAUUAAACUUU